GGGUUGUGAGGUUAAGCGACUAAGCGUACACGGUGGAUGCCCUGGCAGUCAGAGGCGAUGAAGGACGUGCUAAUCUGCGAUAAGCGUCGGUAAGGUGAUAUGAACCGUUAUAACCGGCGAUUUCCGAAUGGGGAAACCCAGUGUGAUUCGUCACACUAUCAUUAACUGAAUCCAUAGGUUAAUGAGGCGAACCGGGGGAACUGAAACAUCUAAGUACCCCGAGGAAAAGAAAUCAACCGAGAUUCCCCCAGUAGCGGCGAGCGAACGGGGAGGAGCCCAGAGCCUGAAUCAGUGUGUGUGUUAGUGGAAGCGUCUGGAAAGGCGCGCGAUACAGGGUGACAGCCCCGUACACAAAAAUGCACAUGCUGUGAGCUCGAUGAGUAGGGCGGGACACGUGGUAUCCUGUCUGAAUAUGGGGGGACCAUCCUCCAAGGCUAAAUACUCCUGACUGACCGAUAGUGAACCAGUACCGUGAGGGAAAGGCGAAAAGAACCCCGGCGAGGGGAGUGAAAAAGAACCUGAAACCGUGUACGUACAAGCAGUGGGAGCACGCUUAGGCGUGUGACUGCGUACCUUUUGUAUAAUGGGUCAGCGACUUAUAUUCUGUAGCAAGGUUAACCGAAUAGGGGAGCCGAAGGGAAACCGAGUCUUAACUGGGCGUUAAGUUGCAGGGUAUAGACCCGAAACCCGGUGAUCUAGCCAUGGGCAGGUUGAAGGUUGGGUAACACUAACUGGAGGACCGAACCGACUAAUGUUGAAAAAUUAGCGGAUGACUUGUGGCUGGGGGUGAAAGGCCAAUCAAACCGGGAGAUAGCUGGUUCUCCCCGAAAGCUAUUUAGGUAGCGCCUCGUGAAUUCAUCUCCGGGGGUAGAGCACUGUUUCGGCAAGGGGGUCAUCCCGACUUACCAACCCGAUGCAAACUGCGAAUACCGGAGAAUGUUAUCACGGGAGACACACGGCGGGUGCUAACGUCCGUCGUGAAGAGGGAAACAACCCAGACCGCCAGCUAAGGUCCCAAAGUCAUGGUUAAGUGGGAAACGAUGUGGGAAGGCCCAGACAGCCAGGAUGUUGGCUUAGAAGCAGCCAUCAUUUAAAGAAAGCGUAAUAGCUCACUGGUCGAGUCGGCCUGCGCGGAAGAUGUAACGGGGCUAAACCAUGCACCGAAGCUGCGGCAGCGACGCUUAUGCGUUGUUGGGUAGGGGAGCGUUCUGUAAGCCUGCGAAGGUGUGCUGUGAGGCAUGCUGGAGGUAUCAGAAGUGCGAAUGCUGACAUAAGUAACGAUAAAGCGGGUGAAAAGCCCGCUCGCCGGAAGACCAAGGGUUCCUGUCCAACGUUAAUCGGGGCAGGGUGAGUCGACCCCUAAGGCGAGGCCGAAAGGCGUAGUCGAUGGGAAACAGGUUAAUAUUCCUGUACUUGGUGUUACUGCGAAGGGGGGACGGAGAAGGCUAUGUUGGCCGGGCGACGGUUGUCCCGGUUUAAGCGUGUAGGCUGGUUUUCCAGGCAAAUCCGGAAAAUCAAGGCUGAGGCGUGAUGACGAGGCACUACGGUGCUGAAGCAACAAAUGCCAUGCUUCCAGGAAAAGCCUCUAAGCAUCAGGUAACAUCAAAUCGUACCCCAAACCGACACAGGUGGUCAGGUAGAGAAUACCAAGGCGCUUGAGAGAACUCGGGUGAAGGAACUAGGCAAAAUGGUGCCGUAACUUCGGGAGAAGGCACGCUGAUAUGUAGGUGAAGCGACUUGCUCGUGGAGCUGAAAUCAGUCGAAGAUACCAGCUGGCUGCAACUGUUUAUUAAAAACACAGCACUGUGCAAACACGAAAGUGGACGUAUACGGUGUGACGCCUGCCCGGUGCCGGAAGGUUAAUUGAUGGGGUCAGCGCAAGCGAAGCUCUUGAUCGAAGCCCCGGUAAACGGCGGCCGUAACUAUAACGGUCCUAAGGUAGCGAAAUUCCUUGUCGGGUAAGUUCCGACCUGCACGAAUGGCGUAAUGAUGGCCAGGCUGUCUCCACCCGAGACUCAGUGAAAUUGAACUCGCUGUGAAGAUGCAGUGUACCCGCGGCAAGACGGAAAGACCCCGUGAACCUUUACUAUAGCUUGACACUGAACAUUGAGCCUUGAUGUGUAGGAUAGGUGGGAGGCUUUGAAGUGUGGACGCCAGUCUGCAUGGAGCCGACCUUGAAAUACCACCCUUUAAUGUUUGAUGUUCUAACGUUGACCCGUAAUCCGGGUUGCGGACAGUGUCUGGUGGGUAGUUUGACUGGGGCGGUCUCCUCCUAAAGAGUAACGGAGGAGCACGAAGGUUGGCUAAUCCUGGUCGGACAUCAGGAGGUUAGUGCAAUGGCAUAAGCCAGCUUGACUGCGAGCGUGACGGCGCGAGCAGGUGCGAAAGCAGGUCAUAGUGAUCCGGUGGUUCUGAAUGGAAGGGCCAUCGCUCAACGGAUAAAAGGUACUCCGGGGAUAACAGGCUGAUACCGCCCAAGAGUUCAUAUCGACGGCGGUGUUUGGCACCUCGAUGUCGGCUCAUCACAUCCUGGGGCUGAAGUAGGUCCCAAGGGUAUGGCUGUUCGCCAUUUAAAGUGGUACGCGAGCUGGGUUUAGAACGUCGUGAGACAGUUCGGUCCCUAUCUGCCGUGGGCGCUGGAGAACUGAGGGGGGCUGCUCCUAGUACGAGAGGACCGGAGUGGACGCAUCACUGGUGUUCGGGUUGUCAUGCCAAUGGCACUGCCCGGUAGCUAAAUGCGGAAGAGAUAAGUGCUGAAAGCAUCUAAGCACGAAACUUGCCCCGAGAUGAGUUCUCCCUGACUCCUUGAGAGUCCUGAAGGAACGUUGAAGACGACGACGUUGAUAGGCCGGGUGUGUAAGCGCAGCGAUGCGUUGAGCUAACCGGUACUAAUGAACCGUGAGGCUUAACCUUACAACGCCGAAGGUGUUU
rnacentral:rRNA from 1 species